rnacentral:lncRNA from 1 species
CGAAUGGCGGUGUACUCUGCUUGGCUAAGCACCAAACGUGCGUUGAACCAUGGCACGUAAGAAAAGCAGAUUUUGCGUGCCAUUCGCGCCAAUAGUUAG